AUUGAACGCUGGCGGCAUGCUUUACACAUGCAAGUCGGACGGCAGCGGGGUAGUGCUUGCACUACUGCCGGCGAGUGGCGAACGGGCGAGUAAUAUAUUGGAACGUACCGAGUAAUGGGGGAUAACCAAUCGAAAGAUUGGCUAAUACCGCAUACGCUCUGAGGAGGAAAGCAGGGGACCUUCGGGCCUUGCGUUAUUCGAGCGGCCAAUAUCUGAUUAGCUAGUUGGUGGGGUAAGGGCCUACCAAGGCGACGAUCAGUAGCGGGUCUGAGAGGAUGAUCCGCCACACUGGACUGAGACACGGCCCAGACUCCUACGGGAGGCAGCAGUGGGGAAUUUUGGACAAUGGGCGCAAGCCUGAUCCAGCCAUGCCGCGUGUCUGAAGAAGGCCUUCGGGUUGUAAAGGACUUUUGUUAGGGAAGAAAAAGGAGCGGUUAAUACCCGUUUCUGCUGACGGUACCUAAAGAAUAAGCACCGGCUAACUACGUG
rnacentral:rRNA from 1 species